UCUCAGUUAGUAUAGUGGUCAGUAUCUCCGCCUGUCAAUCUCUCCGGUUUGGCCGGAUUGAACGGUGCGCGGAAGACCCGGGUUCGAUUCCCGGACUGAGAG